rnacentral:lncRNA from 1 species
GUACAGAAUGUGGGGAUGAUUACAGGUACAGAAUGUGGGGAUUAUUACAGGUACAGAGGAUGGGGAUGAUUACAGGUACAGAGGAUGGGGAUGAUUACAGGUACAGAGGGUGGGGAUGAGAACAGGUAUAGAAGGUGGGGAUGAGAACAGGUACAGAGGGUGGGGAUGAUUACAGGUACAGAAUGUGGGGAUGAUUACAGGUACAGAAUGUGGGGAUGAUUACAGGUACAGAAGGUGGGGAUGACUACAGGUAGAGAGGGUGGGGAUGAUUACAGGUACAGAAUGUGGGGAUGAUUACAGGUACAGAAUGUGGGGAUGAUUACAGGUACAGAAUGUGGGGAUGAUUACAGGUACAG